GCGCACGCGCAGCGGUUGUCGCCCGCGGGAGCGCGACCUGGGGACCGCUCGAGGCGCCGCCGCCCGCAUCAAGAAACGAAAGACAGAAGCUGGACAACACCUGCCCGGCCCACCCUGAGUUCAUCUAGCAUUUUGUUCCUUUGUUUUUGCUUCAGGAAGAAACUGCCUUUUGUUUUGUAAAAAUAAAGAGGCUUAGUUCCACAAAUGCAAUGAGAAAACACUUUCCAGCAGAGUAUUUAGAAAAAGUAAAAACAUGACUAUUCCUGUCGAAGAGGCACUCUACAACCUGCAAUGCCCACAAGUUACUCCAGCACUUUGAGUCUAUCUUUAAUACUUUUCCACCUGCUGAUUUCCAGUUUUGUCUCCAAGGUGGAGUAUCAGCUUGGUUUCCAAUGACCCUCGGAGUGAAGUGGCUGUGAAAGCAUUGACUUUCACCAGGCACGGAAAUGGCUAUCAAAACAUGGGGGGUACCGGGGGACACGAUUUCUUGGCGGCCGCGCGUGCUUCAGCCGUGGGCCCUGUGGACGCUAAUUCGCUCAGGAUUCUUCCAGUUUCCAGCCGCGCGACGUAGACGCUUCUACUAUGGGGCCGUUAGAAUGAGUUAACUAGUGCAUGUCUGUACCACAGAUUUUAAAAAACUGGACACCAUGCUGGACAACAUAAUAUAGGACAGGGCACUUUCAAGCUGUAGUAUGGAAACCAAGCAAUAUAUAAAUGAUCUGCAUUAUAUGCAACCUAAAACUUUACAUUCUUGGGUGUAUUAAACAUUUUUCCCCAAUUGCCAGCUGUAAAAAUAGAGGGUGUGAAUUGGUUAAUAAAAUGUCUUUAUAAUCUGAAGAAAGCAUUUGGCCUCUGUAAUAUGAAGGGAGAGGUAACAUCUACCAUCACUUGGCGGGGGGCUUCAACAUCAAAAGCCUCGAUCGCCUUGACGCAACAGUUUGACUGCCUGACCGAGGGAAAAGAAGCAGUGAAGAGAUGAGACCAUCACAGUGCAUGAUACUAACAAAAGCAACAAAACACACAAUUAACACUAUUUAACACAAACAUCCAUCACAGUGAGGAGGUGUCUGGAGAAGAUUCACUGUGAUGGAUGUUUGUGUUAAAUAGUGUUAAUUGUGUGUUUUGUUGCUUUUGUUAGUAUCAUGCACAAAAUUUUGUUCAUACUUGUUUGAAUAACAAUAAAGGAAAUUCAAUUCAA